UACGGAGGGUGCAAGCGUUGUCCGGAAUCACUGGGCGUAAAGGGCGCGUAGGCGGCUCAUGGAAGGCUGUGGUGAAAGUCCGGGGCUCAACCUCGGAUCGGCCGUGGCGACUCGUGGGCUGGAGCACUGUAGAGGCGGGUGGAAUUCCGGGUGUAGCGGUGGAAUGCGUAGAGAUCCGGAAGAACACCGGUGGCGAAGGCGGUCUGCUGGGGUGAGGCUGACGCUGAGGCGCGACAGCGUGGGGGAGCAAACAGG
rnacentral:rRNA from 1 species